rnacentral:rRNA from 1 species
GAUGAACGCUAGCUACAGGCUUAACACAUGCAAGUCGAGGGGAAACGACAUCGAAAGCUUGCUUUCGAUGGGCGUCGACCGGCGCACGGGUGAGUAACGCGUAUCCAACCUGCCCACCACUCGGGGAUAACCUUGCGAAAGUAAGACUAAUACCCAAUGAUAUCUCUAGAAGACAUCUGAAAGAGAUUAAAGAUUUAUCGGUGAUGGAUGGGGAUGCGUCUGAUUAGCUUGUUGGCGGGGUAACGGCCCACCAAGGCUACGAUCAGUAGGGGUUCUGAGAGGAAGGUCCCCCACAGUGGAACUGAGACACGGUCCAAACUCCUACGGGAGGCAGCAGUGAGGAAUAUUGGUCAAUGGACGAGAGUCUGAACCAGCCAAGUAGCGUGCAGGAUGACGGCCCUAUGGGUUGUAAACUGCUUUUAUAAGGGAAUAAAGUGAGUCUCGUGAGACUUUUUGCAUGUACCUUAUGAAUAAGGACCGGCUAAUUCCGUGCCAGCCGCCGCCGUAA